ACCCGCUGAAUUUAAGCAUAUCAGUAAGCGGAGGAAAAGAAACUAACCAGGAUUCUCCCAGUAACGGCGAGUGAACGGAGAAAAGCCCGUCACCGAAGGCUGUGUGCUUCUGCAUACAAGUCAAUGUGGUGUUAAGGCAUAUUCCUGGGGACGGUACCUUAUCCGAAGUCCAUUUUUGAUUGUGGCUUUGUAUUUGUUCCAUAGCGGGUGAAAGGCCCGUACGGAUAAGGUUUGGCCACAUACCGUUCCUCUGAUGAAUGUGCUGUCGAGUCGGAUUGCUUGAGAAUGCAGUCCAAAGUGGGUGGUAAACUCCAUCCAAGGCUAAAUACKGCACGAGUCCGAUAKWCWYSGAWGCSSSA
rnacentral:rRNA from 1 species